ACAGGGAUUGCCUCAGUAACGGCGAGUGAAGCGGCAACAGCUCAAAUUUGAAAGCUGGCUCCUUCGGGGCCCGCGUUGUAAUUUGUAGAGGAUGUUUCGGGCGCGGCGCCGGUCUAAGUUCUUUGGAACAAGACGUCAUAGAGGGUGAGAAUCCCGUAUGUGACUGGUUGCCUGUGCCCAUGUGAAACUCCUUCGACGAGUCGAGUAGUUUGGGAAUGCUGCUCAAAAUGGGAGGUGUAUUUCUUCUAAAGCUAAAUAUUGGCCAGAGACCGAUAGCGCACAAGUAGAGUGAUCGAAAGAUGAAAAGCACUUUGGAAAGAGAGUUAAACAGUACGUGAAAUUGUUGAAAGGGAAGCGCUUGCAAUCAGACUUGCGCGGCGUCGAUCAGCCUGGGUUCUCCCUGGUGUACUCGGCGCCGCUCAGGCCAGCAUCAGUUUCGGCGGUGGGAUAAAGGCUCAGGGAACGUGAGUUGCUUCGGUGACUGUUAUAGCCCUGGGUGCAAUGCCGCCUGCCGGGACUGAGGACCGCGCUUCGGCUAGGAUGCUGGCGUAAUGGUUGUAAGCGA
rnacentral:rRNA from 1 species